rnacentral:rRNA from 1 species
UACGUAGGCAGCAAACGUUGUUCGGAAUUACUGGGCGUAAAGAGUGUGUAGGCGGUGUUCCCAGUCUGUUGUGAAAUCGUCCCGGCUUAACUGGGAGGGUGCAGCGGAAACUAGAAUGCUAGAGGGUGGGAGAGGUAAGCGGAAUUCCUGGUGUAGCGGUGAAAUGCGUAGAUAUCAGGAGGAACACCUGUGGUGUAGACAGCUUACUGGACCACUUCUGACACUGAGACACGAAAGCGUGGGUAGCAAACAGG